rnacentral:rRNA from 1 species
UACGGAGGGUGCGAGCGUUAAUCGGAAUUACUGGGCGUAAAGCGCACGUAGGCGGUUCGUUAAGUCGGGUGUGAAAGCCCCGGGCUCAACCUGGGAACUGCAUUCGGAUACUGGACGGCUAGAGUAUGAGAGAGGGAGGUAGAAUUCCACGGUGUAGCGGUGAAAUGCGUAGAUAUGUGGAGGAAUACCGGUGGCGAAGGCGGCCUCCUGGUUCAAUACUGACGCUGAGGUGCGAAAGCGUGGGGAGCAAACAGGAUUAGAAA